UGUAUAUACACAUGGAUUUGUAAAGUUCUUUACUAUAACUGACUUUAGGUCACACCUUCGAAAGAAGCACCCAUAAUUCUUUUACUUGAUUAUAUUGCCAGUAUCCCUAGCAAAUCUGAGAUAUAUUGUUGAAAUGCAAUUGUCACAUGAACCCCCAAAUAAGUAAUGAAAUUAAUGGUAGAACUGAGAAGAGAACCAGAGCACUCACUCACAUACUGUCAGUAUCUCAGCCCAACUGAAUGCUCCUCAAAUCAGAAAAUAUAUAUCAUUACUUAAAUCACCUGCAUAUCAGACAGGCUAUGGUUUAAUAAACAUUUCUAUUUCCAUUAUUCUACUCUGUGGCUGUUAGCCCAGAAAAAGCCCAACUUUGAUAAACGUAGCUGUCUAGGAGGGAUAAAUUAUCAAGGGUGUGCUCUCAACAAAAUAUUUUAAGGUAAAAAUUUAUAUGGCAACUGAAAGCCAUUUUUUAUCAUUUAAUUCUAGUGAUCCCAGGCACAAAGUCGAGGUAUUAAUGGAUGUGAUAAGCACUGGCACCAACUCCUGUACCCAAAAUUACUUUAUGAACAACGUAGCACGAGGACUGCAGGUCAGCACUAUCAGACCUAUUAUGCAGACAAGGAAACUGAGGCAGAAGGGUCAGUCUUACCUGGUAAUUCAGUAUUAGAGAUGAGACUGGAACCUGCAUUAAUUGCACUCAUUAGUUUUCUUGGCAGAUUCAUCCAAUGACUUUCGUGUGGUUUCUAAUGGUAAAUAUGAGGGGUUUUAUGAAGUCAUUGAGUAACACGAGUUAUUUACAAGAUGGGUUUUAAACACACACGCACACGCACCCACACACUGGAUCAUUUCCAACAUCAGCUACUGAACAGCUGUCACAGCUCUCUUCAGUUGGAUGGAGCUUUUGAUCAAGUUAUGAAAAGUCCCAUAUCCAAUUACCAAUCCCCAGCAUCACCCAUUUCCUCGCUUGGCACUGCUCAACCAAAUGAUACACUUAUAAUGCCAAAGCAAAGUGAUUACAUAAAUAAUUUAGUUGGGUCUUCUUUAAUCCUAUACGAGCAGCUUACAGUAAUCCUAAUUAGUAUUUUACUCACCUGGUGCAGUCAUGUAACAGUAAUCCUAUUGAAUUUCCAACAUUAAGCAUGAAAGCGUGCAAGAAUUUAAAGAAUAUAUUCCUAGCUUACAGAAAUCAAUCAUGUGAGUCAAGAUGUUCACAAAGUUGGUUUAUUUGAAAGAUAUAAGUGAUUCUAGAUACAAACUAGAGAACAUUU
rnacentral:lncRNA from 10 species